CCUACGGGAGGCAGCAGUGAGGAAUAUUGGUCAAUGGUCGGAAGACUGAACCAGCCAAGCCGCGUGAGGGAGGACGGCACUAUGUGUUGUAAACCUCUUUUGUCAGGGAGCAAAGGCUGGGACGCGUCUCCGGCUGAGAGUACCUGACGAAAAAGCAUCGGCUAACUCCGUGCCAGCAGCCGCGGUAAUACGGAGGAUGCGAGCGUUAUCCGGAUUUAUUGGGUUUAAAGGGUGCGUAGGCGGUCGGUUAAGUUAGCGGUGAAAUCCCGGGGCUCAACCUCGGGCCUGCCUUGGAAACUGGCAGUCUAGAGGGGGAGAGCAGUAUGCGGAAUGCGCGGUGUAGCGGUGAAAUGCAUAGAGAUCGCGCAGAACUCCGAUUGCGAAGGCAGCAUGCCGGGUCCAUACUGACGUUGAGGCACGAAAGCGUGGGUAUCGAACAGGAUUAGAUACCCGGGUAGUC
rnacentral:rRNA from 1 species